rnacentral:rRNA from 1 species
UGAACGCUGGCGGCAGGCUUACACAUGCGAUUGUCAAGCGGACGACGAGGUAGCUUGCCACUGAUCUAUAGCGGCGGACGGGUGAGUAAUGCUUAGAAUCUGCCUAUUAGUGGGGGACAACCAUUUCGAAAAGGAAUGCUAAUACCGCAUACGUCCUACGGGAGAAAGCAAGGGGAUCUUCGGACCUUGCGCUCAUAGAUGAGCCUAAGUCGGAUAUAGCUCAGAUUGGUUGGGGUAAAAGCCUACACAAAGGCGACGAUCUGUAGCCGGGUCUGAGAAGGAUGAUCCGCAACACUGGGACUGCAGACACACGGCCCAGACUCCUACGAGGAGGCAAGCCACGGUGGGGAAUAUUGGACAAUGGGCGCAAGCCUGAUCCAGCCAUGCCAGCCGUGUGUGAAAGAAGAGCCUUAUGGUUGUACAGCACUUUAACAGCGAGGAGGAGGCUACAUUUAGAUUAAAUAACUAGAGAUAGUGGACCCGUUACUCGCAGAAAUAAGCAACGGCUAAACUCAUGUGCCAGACAGACCGCGGGUCAUACAAGAGGGUGCAAGACGUUAAAUCAGGAGUUUACAUAGGGCAGUCAAAGCGCGCGUAACGCGGCUAAUUUAAGUCAAAUGUGAAAUCCCCGAAGAGCUUUACACUUUGGGAAAUUUGCAAUUUCCGAUAACUUGGGUUACAGACUACGAAAGUGUUGGGGCAGACGAUGGUACAAUUCCACGAGAUGUAACCGGAGAACAUGCCUAGAGAUCUCGGAGGGAAUACACCGAUUGACAAAAGGAAGCAUCAUUGACUAAAAACAUGAAACGCCUGAAGUGCAAAACAUUGCGGAGCACACACAGGAUUAG